rnacentral:rRNA from 1 species
UGGGGAAUAUUGCACAAUGGAGGGAACUCUGAUGCAGCGACGCCGCGUGAGUGAUGAAGGAAUUCGUUUCGUAAAACUCUGUUCUAUGGGAAGAAAAGGACUGUACCAUAGGAGAAAGCUCCGGCUAAAUACGUGCCAGCAGCCGCGGUAAUACGUAUGGAGCGAGCGUUGUCCGGAAUUAUUGGGCGUAAAGGGUGCGCAGGCGGCUUUACAAGUUGGAUGUGAAAUAUUGUGGCUCAACCACAAACGUGCAUCCAAAACUGCAAAGCUUGAGUUAAGGAGAGGUAAGUGGAAUUCCUUGUGUAGCGGUGGAAUGCGUAGAUAUCAGGAGGAAUACCGGUGGCGCAGGCGACUUACUGGACUUAAACUGACGCUCAGGCACGAAAGCGUGGGGAGCAAACAGG